AAGAACUGAAAGAUCAAAGAGCUCUGCACUCAUAAAAGAGAGUUAAUUGACACAACUUGAAAUGAAUAUCACAUGUUGUUGGAGAAUAUGCGGUCUCAAUAUAUAGAACAGGAGAAAAGAAAAGCCUACAGAUUAUUCCAAAGGUGUAAACAGCAAAACUAAGCUUACCUGGUGCAUUCCAUGGGGACUUUGCAGUUGCAGCUCCCUCACAUUCAGGAAUACCAACAUCUUUUCCUUGU
rnacentral:misc_RNA from 1 species